ACUGCUCUUAGAGUCAUUCUGGGUGUGGGUGCUGUGUCACAUGUGUGUUAGUAAGUAGCAGAGAGAAGAGAGGCUAUGUCUAAACUCAAUUUUUUGAAUCCAUGAAUACCAAAAUGAUUAGUAGCCUAACAUU